AUGGAGGAUCACUUAGCUCAUCCGUUGAUGAAGAGUACAGCCAUCUGCAAGAACGGAUGCAAAUUGCAGGACUUGGUGAACAUCAACACCUUGAACACCCAUUGCAGUCUCAAG